rnacentral:snoRNA from 1 species
AAUCUCCAGGUGAUUAGUCUCACAAUAAUGCAUAGUUCAAAUCUAGGCAAUGUCCAAUGCGAACAACCAUACCAUCACCAUAAAGUCUUUCGCUCCUAUAUGAUGGAUGGG